rnacentral:lncRNA from 1 species
GCCUGUGAAACGUGAAUGGCAGAUUUCGAAGGACGUGUCACUCUGUGUAUUGUCUGCAUAAUGCACCAAAGACUUCAUAAUGUGGUUGUUUGUAACCGUCAGGCUAGUUUUAAAAGCAUGUUUCAAAGUUUCUGGUUGCUAGCUAUUACGAGGCUUCCAUUGCCUUGUAAAACCUGCUGAAAGGCUUUCAUAGUUAAAAAAAAUAAUAAUAUGUAAGUGUAUACCAUAUUAGUAAUUUGUGAUAUUCUCUAAUCCUAGCUGGUAGGAGUGGAUGUCAUGGCAGCUCUGGACAUGUAUGCUAAGAGAGGCCAAUUUUUCACAAGUGUGUGUGAACUUGUACGCCACCCACCUGAUCAAGGAGGGAGAUGCGGAGAAGGUGCCCCAGCCAACCCCCAGAACUACAAGAUGAUGUUCCUGGACCUGCUGAGCCUGUUAGGUCAGUGUGGCUGCCAAGCUGUAUCUCCCUGCUGCGCCACACAAGAGUUUAUCCCAGCUGACAAGGCCUUCUACAAGGCGGGCAUGGCUGCCAGGGCUGUGAGCUAG